AGUAAUGUAUGGGGAUCUGCCCGAUAGAGGGGGAUAACUACUGGAAACGGUGGCCAAUACCGCAUAAUGUCUACGGACCAAAGCAGGGGCUCUUCGGACCUUGCACUAUCGGAUGAACCCAUAUGGGAUUAGCUAGUAGGUGGGGUAAAGGCUCACCUAGGCGACGAUCUCUAGCUGGUCUGAGAGGAUGAUCAGCCACACUGGGACUGAGACACGGCCCAGACUCCUACGGGAGGCAGCAUG
rnacentral:rRNA from 1 species